UCAUUGGAGAGUUUGAUCCUGGCUCAGGACGAACGCUGGCGGCGUGCUUAACACAUGCAAGUCGAACGGAAAGGCCCUGCUUUUGUGGGGUGCUCGAGUGGCGAACGGGUGAGUAACACGUGAGUAACCUGCCCUUGACUUUGGGAUAACUUCAGGAAACUGGG
rnacentral:ncRNA from 1 species